CUUGUACCAACUGGAUGAGCAGCGAACGGGUGAGUAACGCGUGGGGAAUCUGCCUUUGAGCGGGGGACAACAUUUGGAAACGAAUGCUAAUACCGCAUAAAAACUUUAAACACAAAUUUUAAGUUUGAAAGAUGCAAUUGCAUCACUCAAAGAUGAUCCCGCGUUGUAUUAGCUAGUUGGUGAGGUAAAGGCUCACCAAGGCGAUGAUACAUAGCCGACCUGAGAGGGUGAUCGGCCACAUUGGGACUGAGACACGGCCCAAACUCCUACGGGAGGCAGCAGUAGGGAAUCUUCGGCAAUGGACGAAAGUCUGACCGAGCAACGCCGCGUGAGUGAAGAAGGUUUUCGGAUCGUAAAACUCUGUUGGUAGAGAAGAACGUUGGUGAGAGUGGAAAGCUCAUCAAGUGACGGUAACUACCCAGAAAGGGACGGCUAACUACGUGCCAGCAGCCGCGGUAAUACGUAGGUCCCGAGCGUUGUCCGGAUUUAUUGGGCGUAAAGCGAGCGCAGGUGGUUUACUAAGUCUGGUGUAAAAGGCAGUGGCUCAACCAUUGUAUGCAUUGGAAACUGGUAGACUUGAGUGCAGGAGAGGAGAGUGGAAUUCCAUGUGUAGCGGUGAAAUGCGUAGAUAUAUGGAGGAACACCG
rnacentral:rRNA from 1 species